AGCCCUCAGCGUACAUGCCAGCUAAUUACAGAUGCAGGAGCAAACCCCUGGCCCAUACAUCAGUUGGGUGUGGUGACUCACACCUGCAAUCCCAGCACUUCAGGAGGCUGAAGAGAGCAGAUCACUUGCGGCCAGGAGUUCGAGACCAGUCUGGGCAACAUAAUGGAGUUUCGCUCUUGUUGCCCAGGCUGGAGUGCAACGGCACGAUCUCAGCUCACCGCAACCUCAGCCUCCCAAGUUCAAGCAAUUCUCCUGCCUCAGCGUCCUGAGUAGCUGGAAUUACAGAUUUUGAGUCUUGCUCUAUGGCCCAGACUGGAGUGCAGUGGCGUGAUCUCAGCUCACUUCAACCUCCACCUCCCGGGUUCGAGAGAGAUUCUCCUGCCUCAUCCUCCCGAGUAGCUGGGAUCACCGGCGCCCACAACCACACCCGGCUAAUUUUUGUACUUUUAGUGGAGACAGGGUUUCACCAUGUUGGCUAGGCUGGUCACAAACUCCCGACCUCAGGUUAUCCAUCUGCCUUGGCCUCCCAAAGUGCUGGGAUUACAGGCGUGAGCCCCCGCACCUGGCCAAGAUCAGCUAG
rnacentral:lncRNA from 1 species